rnacentral:rRNA from 1 species
GAUGAACGCUGGCGGCGUGCCUAAUACAUGCAAGUCGAGCGAACGGGCGCGAAGCUUGCUUCUCGGAUGUUAGCGGCGGACGGGUGAGUAACACGUGGAUAACCUACCUAUAAGACUGGGAUAACUUCGGGAAACCGGAGCUAAUACCGGAUACUAUUUUGAACCGCAUGGUUCAAAAGUGAAAGACGGUCUUGCUGUCACUUAUAGAUGGGUCCGCGCUGGAUUAGCUAGUUGGUAAGGUAACGGCUUACCAAGGCAACGAUGCAUAGCUGACCUGAGAGGGUGAUCGGCCACACUGGAACUGAGACACGGCCCAGACUCCUACGGGAGGCAGCAGUAGGGAAUCUUCCGCAAUGGGCGCAAGCCUGACGGAGCAACGCCGCGUGAGGGAUGAAGGUCUUCGGAUCGUAAAACUCUGUUAUUAGGGACGAACAGAUGUGUAAGUAACUGGGCACAUCUUGACGGUACCUAAUCAGAAAGCCACGGCUAACUACGUG